AAGGAGCAUCUGCACUGCGGUCUUCGGAUUGUCAGUGGAGGCCACGCGGUCGGCGAACGAUCGACCGGUGGAGCUCAAUAUUGUGGAUGCUGGCUAAUGCGUGAAUCGGGAUUGCCGACCGAGUUAGUACUGUCCGUGGGGGCGUGGAAGGGUCGGUCGGGGGUUUCGAGGAGUGUUCGGUACGCUGUUGGGUCCUGAGAGAACACGCGAGUGUCUUUCAGUGAUCGGGGCUUCCCCGUCAUGCGAACCACUGCCCGAGAUACUGGGUGGCAGGCGUUGACAGUAGUGGGAGGUCGUCGGUUUGUUCUUUGAGAACUGCACAGUGGAUGCGAGCAUCUUUGU
rnacentral:misc_RNA from 1 species